UGAACAAAACACAUUUACAGGUUGUACAGCGCCACAAUCGUUUGCUACCAUGCCUUUUACCUUCCUCUUCUGUAUAUUACUUUUCUAGCAGAUUUUUUUGAGGAGGAAGACAUGCAUUUAGAGAAUGUGUACUACUCAGAGAUGAAAGAUGCUGGUUUUUUUUAUGCUGACUGGGAGUAAGCAUCAAAUGGACUUUGAGUUAGUAGCUUCUCUAUACAUAAAGCUCUGUAAAUAUAAAGUGCAGUUACGAUUGUAAAAUAUCAGCUCAAACAGAUGAUGGAUCUAUGUCUCAAUAUACCGAUAUUGCUGUGGGAACAAAUCCAAUAAUGUAGAAUGUGCUUUACCUAGAGCUUCUUCCUAAAGAUCAGUUAGUCCUUGAUUUUUUUUUAGUAUGUACUAUGUGUUAUCAAGUAGAUUUGGAGUUUGAAUA